CACAGCAACAUGCCUAAGCUUUAUUGUGACUGCUGCAAUACAUACCUCACCCAUGACUCUCCAUCUGUGAGAAAGACACACUGCAGUGGCAGGAAACACAAAGAGAAUGUGAAAGACUACUAUCAGAAAUGGAUGGAAGAGCAGACUCAGAGCCUCAUUGUCAAAACAACUGCUGCAUUUCAACAAGAAAAGAUACCUCCUACUCCAUUCUCUGCUCCACCUCCUGCAGGGGCGAUGAUCCCACCUCCACCUAGUCUUCUGGGUUCUCCUCACCCUGGUAUGAUGCCAGCACCCCAUAUGGGGGGCCCUCCCAUGAUGCCAAUGAUGGGCCCUCCUCCUCCUGGCAUGAUGCCAGUGGGACCUGCUCCUGGAAAUAGGCCACCCAUUGGAGGCCACAUGCCAAUGAUGCCUGGGCCUCCACUGAUGAAACCUCCUGCCAGUCCUAUGGUGGUGCCCACUCGGCCUGGAAUGACUCGAUCAGACAAAUAAGGAUGGGGGAGGACUCAUCAAUUUUAUAGUGCUUGUUAUACUUCACCAGUAGAUCAUGGUGACUGAGUGUUUUCUUAAUAGCAUGUAAGAAAGACUUGCUCCCCUUCCUAUCAGAGAAUAG